rnacentral:rRNA from 1 species
UUCCGGUUGAUCCCGCCGGACCUGACUGCUAUCGGAUUGAUACUAAGCCAUGCGAGUCAUUGUAGCAAUACAAGGCAGACGGCUCAGUAACGCGUAGUCAACCUACCCUAUGGACGGGGAUAACCUCGGGAAACUGAGAAUAAUACCAGAUAGAACAUUAUACCUGGAAUGGUUUAUGUUUCAAAUAAUUUAUUGCCGUAGGAUGGGACUGCGGCCUAUCAGUUUGUUGGUGAGGUAAUGGCCCACCAAGACUAUUACAGGUACGGGCUCUGAGAGGAGUAGCCCGGAGAUGGGUACUGAGACACGGACCCAGGCCCUAUGGGGCGCAGCAGGCGAGAAAACUUUGCAAUGUGCGAAAGCACGACAAGGUUAAUCCGAGUGGUUUCUGCUAAAGGAACCUUUUGCCAGUCCUAGAAACACUAGUGAAUAAGGGGUGGGCAAGUUCUGGUGUCAGCCGCCGCGGUAAAACCAGCACCUCAAGUGGUCAGGAUGAUUAUUGGGCCUAAAGCAUCCGUAGCCUGCUUUGCCAGUUUUCGGUUAAAUCCACACGCUUAACGUAUGGGCUGCCGGAAAUACUACAAAGCUAGGGAGUGGGAGAGGUAGACGGUACUCGGUAGGAAGGGGUAAAAUCCUUUGAUCUAUUGAUGACCACCUGUGGCGAAGGCGGUCUACCAGAACACGUCCGACGGUGAGGGAUGAAAGCUGGGGGAGCAAACCGGAUUAGAUACCCGGGUAGUCCCAGCUGUAAACUAUGCAAACUCGGUGAUGCAUUGGCUUGAUGCCAAUGCAGUGCCGCAGGGAAGCCGUUAAGUUUGCCGCCUGGGAAGUACGUACGCAAGUAUGAAACUUAAAGGAAU